rnacentral:rRNA from 2 species
CCGUAAGAAGUUGAGUGGCGGACGGGUGAGUAACACGUGGGUAACCUGCCUAAAAGAAGGGGAUAACACUUGGAAACAGGUGCUAAUACCGUAUAUCUMUAAGGAUCGCAUGAUCCUUAGAUGAAAGAUGGUUCUGCUAUCGCUUUUAGAUGGACCCGCGGCGUAUUAACUAGUUGGUGGGGUAACGGCCUACCAAGGUGAUGAUACGUAGCCGAACUGAGAGGUUGAUCGGCCACAUUGGGACUGAGACACGGCCCAAACUCCUACGGGAGGCAGCAGUAGGGAAUCUUCCACAAUGGACGCAAGUCUGAUGGAGCAACGCCGCGUGAGUGAAGAAGGUCUUCGGAUCGUAAAACUCUGUUGUUAGAGAAGAACACGAGUGAGAGUAACUGUUCAUUCGAUGACGGUAUCUAACCAGCAAGUCACGGCUAACUACGUGCCAGCAGCCGCGGUAAUACGUAGGUGGCAAGCGUUGUCCGGAUUUAUUGGGCGUAAAGGGAACGCAGGCGGUCUUUUAAGUCUGAUGUGAAAGCCUUCGGCUUAACCGGAGUAGUGCAUUGGAAACUGGAAGACUUGAGUGCAGAAGAGGAGAGUGGAACUCCAUGUGUAGCGGUGAAAUGCGUAGAUAUAUGGAAGAACACCAGUGGCGAAAGCGGCUCUCUGGUCUGUAACUGACGCUGAGGUUCGAAAGCGUGGGUAGCAAACAGGAUUAGAUACCCUGGUAGUCCACGCCGUAAACGAUGAAUGCUAGGUGUUGGAGGGUUUCCGCCCUUCAGUGCCGCAGCUAACGCAAUAAGCAUUCCGCCUGGGGAGUACGACCGCAAGGUUGAAACUCAAAGGAAUUGACGGGGGCCCGCACAAGCGGUGGAGCAUGUGGUUUAAUUCGAAGCAACGCGAAGAACCUUACCAGGUCUUUGGCUCAGGACGAACGCUGGCGGCGUGCCUAAUACAUGCAAGUCGAACGCACUGACGUCGACCGAAGCUGCUUGCAGUGGACGUUGAUUGACGUGAGUGGCGGACGGGUGAGUAACACGUGGGUAACCUACCCUUAAGUGGGGGAUAACAUUUGGAAACAGAUGCUAAUACCGCAUAACCAUUCAGACCRCAUGGUCUGAAUGUAAAAGACGGCCUUUGGCUGUCACUUUUGGACGGACCCGCGGCGUAUUAGUUAGUUGGUAAGGUAACGGCUUACCAAGACAAUGAUACGUAGCCGACCUGAGAGGGUAAUCGGCCACAUUGGGACUGAGACACGGCCCAAACUCCUACGGGAGGCAGCAGUAGGGAAUCUUCCACAAUGGACGAAAGUCUGAUGGAGCAACGCCGCGUGAGUGAAGAAGGUUUUAGGAUCGUAAAACUCUGUUGUUGGAGAAGAACAGGGACUAGAGUAACUGUUAGUCCUUUGACGGUAUCCAACCAGAAAGCCACGGCUAACUACGUGCCAGCAGCCGCGGUAAUACGUAGGUGGCAAGCGUUGUCCGGAUUUAUUGGGCGUAAAGCGAGCGCAGGCGGUUUUUUAAGUCUGAUGUGAAAGCCUUCGGCUUAACCGAAGAAGUGCAUUAGAAACUGGRAAACUUGAGUGCAGAAGAGGACAGUGGAACUCCAUGUGUAGCGGUGAAAUGCGUAGAUAUAUGGAAGAACACCAGUGGCGAAGGCGGCUGUCUGGUCUGUAACUGACGCUGAGGCUCGAAAGUAUGGGGAGCGAACAGGAUUAGAUACCCUGGUAGUCCAUACCGUAAACGAUGAAUGCUAAGUGUUGGAGGGUUUCCGCCCUUCAGUGCUGCAGCUAACGCAUUAAGCAUUCCGCCUGGGGAGUACGACCGCAAGGUUGAAACUCAAAGGAAUUGACGGGGGCCCGCACAAGCGGUGGAGCAUGUGGUUUAAUUCGAAGCAACGCGAAGAACCUUACCAGGUCUUGACAUCCUUUGACCACUGUAGAGAUACAGCUUUCCCUUCGGGGACAAAGUGACAGGUGGUGCAUGGUUGUCGUCAGCUCGUGUCGUGAGAUGUUGGGUUAAGUCCCGCAACGAGCGCAACCCUUAUGACUAGUUGCCAGCAUUUAGUUGGGCACUCUAGUAAGACUGCCGGUGACAAACCGGAGGAAGGUGGGGAUGACGUCAAAUCAGCAUGCCCCUUAUGACCUGGGCUACACACGUGCUACAAUGGUCGGUACAACGAGUUGCGAACCCGCGAGGGUAAGCUAAUCUCUUAAAGCCGAUCUCAGUUCGGAUUGUAGGCUGCAACUCGCCUACAUGAAGCCGGAAUCGCUAGUAAUCGCGGAUCAGCACGCCGCGGUGAAUACGUUCCCGGGCCUUGUACACACCGCCCGUCACACCAUGAGAGUUUGUAACACCCGAAGUCGGUGGGGUAACCCUUUUAGGGAACUAGCCGCCUAAGGUGGGACAGAUGAUUGGGGUGAAGUCGUUGACAGGUGGUGCAUGGCUGUCGUCAGCUCGUGUCGUGAGAUGUUGGGUUAAGUCCCGCAACGAGCGCAACCCUUGUUGUCAGUUGCCAGCAUUAAGUUGGGCACUCUGGCGAGACUGCCGGUGACAAACCGGAGGAAGGUGGGGACGACGUCAAGUCAUCAUGCCCCUUAUGACCUGGGCUACACACGUGCUACAAUGGACGGUACAACGAGUCGCGAGACCGCGAGGUUUAGCUAAUCUCUUAAAGCCGUUCUCAGUUCGGAUUGUAGGCUGCAACUCGCCUACAUGAAGUCGGAAUCGCUAGUAAUCGCGAAUCAGCAUGUCGCGGUGAAUACGUUCCCGGGCCUUGUACACACCGCCCGUCACACCAUGAGAGUUUGUAACACCCAAAGCCGGUGGGGUAACCGCAAGGAGCCAGCCGUCUAAGGUGGGACAGAUGAUUGGGGUGAAGUCGUA